UAAACACAAAUUAUUAGUAGAUUACAAAAUAAUUCCAAUAAUCCCACCAAAACAAACAAAACCCAAUAAUCAAGAAACCUAAGAUAAUUAUACCAAAAUUUCACUGUAAAAUUCAAUUACAAAAGAAACCCAAACCAAGAAAAUUUAACAAAAGGAACCAAAACUAAAAAACCCUAAAACUAAUUUAACAAAAAUUAAAUUAUAGAGGCAGCGAGAACGACGGCAACUUCAGGCAGUGGCGUCGGCGGUUUCGUGCAGCAGUGGAGGCAACGAUUUCGAGUAGUGGCAGAUCACGCAGCAUGCGCCAUUUUGUUGUUGUCGAUUCAAGACGACGGCAGAUCACACCGGCGGCAGAUCACACUGGCAGCAGCUGCAGUGAAAGGCAAGAAGAAGAAUGAGAAGAAGAAGAAAAAAGAAAGAAGAAGAAGAAGAAGAAGAAAGAAAGAAGAAGAAGAUGAAGAUGAAGGCGAAGAAGAAGGAAAAAAGAAAGAAGAUUGAAAGAAAAAAGAUGCCAAGAAGAUUGAAAGAAAGAAGAAGAAGAAGACGAGAAGAAAAAAGGAAACGAGAGAGAGAGAGAAAAGGGGGAAAAAAGAAUGAUAAAAGAGUGUUUCUUUU
rnacentral:lncRNA from 1 species